GGGGAGUUAGCAAUAACUCCUAGUGGCGAACGGGUGAGNNNNGCGUAGACAACCUGCCUCUAAAUUGGGGACAACACCGCGAAAGUGGUGCUAAUACCGAAUGUGGUAUCUUGGUCGCAUGACUAGGAUAAGAAAGGUGGCCUCUAUAUAUAAGCUACCGAUUAGAGAUGGGUCUGCGUCUGAUUAGCUAGUUGGUGAGGUAAUGGCUCACCAAGGCAACGAUCAGUAGCCGGUCUGAGAGGAUGAACGGCCACACUGGGACUGAGACACGGCCCAGACUCCUACGGGAGGCAGCAGUGGGGAAUCUUCCGCAAUGGACGAAAGUCUGACGGAGCAACGCCGCGUGAGUGAAGAAGGUCUUCGGAUUGUAAAGCUCUGUCGUUUGGGACGAACGUGGGAUGUGUGAAUAAUGCAUUCUAAUGACGGUACCAAAGGAGGAAGCCACGGCUAACUACGUGCCAGCAGCCGCGGUAAUACGUAGGUGGCAAGCGUUGUCCGGAAUUAUUGGGCGUAAAGGGCGUGUAGGUGGAUUUUUAAGUCGUGUGUCUAAGUGCGGGGCUCAACCCCGUAUAGGCGCAGGAAACUGGGAAUCUUGAGUGCAGGAGAGGAAAGUGGAAUUCCCAGUGUAGCGGUGAAAUGCGUAGAUAUUGGGAGGAACACCAGUGGCGAAGGCGACUUUCUGGACUGUGUCUGACACUGAGGCGCGAAAGCUAGGGGAGCGAACGGGAUUAGAUACCCCGGUAGUCCUAGCCGUAAACGAUGGGUACUAGG
rnacentral:rRNA from 1 species